GAUGAACGCUGGCGGCGUGCCUAAUACAUGCAAGUCGAGCGAACAGACGAGGAGCUUGCUCCUCUGACGUUAGCGGCGGACGGGUGAGUAACACGUGGAUAACCUACCUAUAAGACUGGGAUAACUUCGGGAAACCGGAGCUAAUACCGGAUAAUAUAUUGAACCGCAUGGUUCAAUAGUGAAAGACGGUUUUGCUGUCACUUAUAGAUGGAUCCGCGCCGCAUUAGCUAGUUGGUAAGGUAACGGCUUACGAAGGCAACGAUGCGUAGCCGACGUGAGAGGGUGAUCGGCCACACUGGAACUGAGACACGGUCCAGACUCCUACGGGAGGCAGCAGUAGGGAAUUUUCCGCAAUGGGCGGAAGCCUGACGGAGCAACGCCGCGUGAGUGAUGAAGGUCUUCGGAUCGUAAAACUCUGUUAUGAGGGAAGAACAAAUGUGUAAGUAACUAUGCACGUCUUGACGGUACCUAAUCAGAAAGCCACGGCUAACUACGUG
rnacentral:rRNA from 1 species